GCCUUGCUGGCUCAGUUGGUAGAGCAUGUGACUCUUAAUCUUGGGGUUGUGAGUUUGAGCCCCAUGUUGGGUC
rnacentral:tRNA from 1 species